rnacentral:rRNA from 1 species
UACGUAGGCAGCGAGCGUUGUUCGGAGUUACUGGGCGUAAAGGGUGUGUAGGCGGUUCUCUAAGUUUGGGGUGAAAUCUCCCGGCUUAACCGGGAGGGCGCGCCGAAAACUGGGGGACUAGAGUGCGGGAUGGGAGAGUAGAAUUCCUGGUGUAGCGGUGAAAUGCGUAGAUAUCAGGAGGAAUACCGGUGGUGUAGACGGCUCUCUGGACCGCAACUGACGCUGAGACACGAAAGCGUGGGUAGCAAACAGG